rnacentral:rRNA from 1 species
GAUGAACGCUAGCGGCAGGCUUAAUACAUGCAAGUCGAGGGGCAGCAGCUUUGUAGCAAUACAGGGGCUGGCGACCGGCAAACGGGUGCGGAACACGUACGCAACCUUCCUUUAACUGGAAGAUAGCCCACCGAAAGGUGGAUUAAUACUCCAUAACAUAUUGAAGAGGCAUCUCUUUGAUAUUAAAGCUCCGGCGGUUAAAGAUGGGCGUGCGUCUGAUUAGGUAGUUGGCGGGGUAACCCGGCCACCAAGCCUUCGAUCAGUAGCUGAUGUGAGAGCAUGAUCAGCCACACGGGCACUGAGACACGGGCCCGACUCCUACGGGAGGCAGCAGUAAGGAAUAUUGGUCAAUGGACGCAAGUCUGAACCAGCCAUGCCGCGUGGAGGAUGAAGGCCCUCUGGGUUGUAAACUUCUUUUCUUUGGGACGAAACCCCUGUUUCUACGGGGACUGACGGUACCAGAGGAAUAAGCACCGGCUAACUCCGUGCCAGCA